GACAGAGGGUGCAAACGUUGUUCGGAAUUACUGGGCGUAAAGCGAGUGUAGGCGGUGUGGUAAGUCGGAUGUGAAAGCCCCGGGCUCAACCCGGGAAGUGCACUCGAUACUGCCACGCUAGAGUAUCGGAGAGGUUGGUGGAAUUCUCGGUGUAGAGGUGAAAUUCGUAGAUAUCGAGAGGAACACCGGUGGCGAAGGCGGCUCUCUGGACCGAUACUGACGCUGAGGCGCGAAAGCGUGGGGAGCAAACAGG
rnacentral:rRNA from 1 species